CCCCUGGCUGCCCCUCCCCCUUCGCCCCUAUCUAGACCACCACACCUCCUUGUCCAGCGCCACACCCCAACCACUGCUCCUCUCCCUCCCUUGCAAAGCCGCCCUUGGUGUCUGUUGCUACUGUUGUGGCUGUGCAGCAUGGGAGGAGGAAGGAGGCCGGUAGCAGGAAGGAGAAAGGAAGAGAAGGAAAAAGGAGAGGGGGAGGAGCGAGACUGCUGGCUCUAGGUUGCUGCGCUUGCUAGGUGAGAAAGGUUUGCCUUGAGCUGAUGAGCAUCAGGAUGGCAGUCGCAUAUCACUUACACUUUCACCUCUACUUUGCCUAGUUAUGUUGUAAUGUUAAAUAGUGGAUAAAUCUCCAGCAUCCUUCACUAGUGGACUUUGAUCGUUGUUUUGCAUAAAUAUUUUGUCGUGGUGGGUCUUUAAAUUGGAGUUAUUUUUUUUUGUUAGGAUGCUUCAUAUGAUGUUAGUGUGUUGUUUUACUCUUAUCCAUAUUUAUCAAUUGUUGCUUAUGCAUUUUCUCUUUUUCUAGGGAGAUGCUGCCAAAAUUUUCUUCUGUGGUAUGCUUGUAGGGUUGUUUAGUAGCAUUCCGGGUCGAUUUGAUUUCCUAGGGUGUUACAGCUUCACCCCGAAUUAGGGUUUUUGUAUCCUUCCAGGUGCAAUGAGGAAAUAUCUGCAUUGACUUCAUCCCUCCUCUCUCAUUAGGGUUAGGCACCACCCUUGGAGAAGUCUGAGGUGCCGCCAUGCAAAUCAAUGGAGUGCCACAUGACAAUACCCUAGUGCGCAGCGUGACACUGUCCUACUAGCAGUAGGGUGGUAACCUCCUUCGGCAGAGGACCUCUACACAGGUUUCCUAGCAUCCCCAGCCUGUAUCCAUGAAGUAUUAUGGGAUAAUCUCUUUGUUCUUGUUCAGGUUUGCUAGUGAUCUUGCUAUGUAAAUUCUGAGAUUAUUUUGAUAUUUAUUUGAUCUAAUUAAGUCUAUGCGAUGUAUGCUUCAUUAUCAUGUCUGUAAUGUUCUGAUACAUGUUAGUAGGAUAGAUACAAACGUGGUGUUUGGAUCUACACUUACUAAUAGCAUUAACAUAGUGCAUUAGUAGAUGAUCUAGGCACAAACUAUAACAUGACUGCGAACUAGGCACACCUUUUCAUUAGUAGUGUAACCACUUAUUAGUCUUAACUGAGUUAUCUUAAUCUGAUCUUUACAUGCAAGUGAAACUUAACUAAAGCGAAGAUUGUUCCUCAUAUCUAUCUAUAGCCCUAAGUCACUAUUCAUGGAUACUCUAAGGGAAAGACUACACUAACCUAUAUGCUUGCGAUUAAUAAAUUAUGCAUGUAACCAGUGCCAACAAGCUUUUUAUUGGCACCGUUGCCAAGGAACAAGUUAGAUUUUUGUUUUAGCUAUUAGGUUUUGAUACUAACACUCUAAUCCCCAACCUUUUUCUAGUGUUCUUGUUUUUUUUUUCACCAUAAAUAUCAUAGGCUCAUCAAAAAUGCUGCUAGAUUACCGUGGACUGAAGACUAAAGCAUCCGCUCAACCAAGCUCAAAAGAGGAAUUUCUUCUACAUCUGGCAUUAAUACAAAUGGCUCAAGAGAAGCCGUUUGGCAGAUCCAAGGAGGAGAACCCAUACAAACACAUUAGAUCCUUAGAGGGAUUAUGCAAGACAUCCAAGCGGCAAGAAGUCCCAGAAGAGCUAUUCAAAUGGAUGAUUUUCCCCUUUUCAUUGGAGAGCAAGGUCAGCAUGGUAUAACUCAGUCAGUGGCGUCGUAAAUGGAGACUAGGGUAUGAUCGUUCAAAAGCUUUGCAUGAAAUUCUUCCCUACAAUAAGAACCCACAAAUUAAGAAAGGAGAUUGUCAACUUCACAUAACUGCCGACUGAAACCUUAACUGAUGACUAGGAGUGAUAUAAUGAAUUGUUGACAAUGGACCCCGAACUUGGUAUCGCUAAAGACAAUAUUAUGCCAACAUUCUAUAUGACCCUGUCUGAAGAUUUUUCAGUA